rnacentral:rRNA from 1 species
CAGCAGCCACGGUAAUACAGAGGGUGCGAGCGUUAAUCGGAUUUACUGGGCGUAAAGCGUGUGUAUGCGGCUUCUUAAGUCGGAUGUGAAAUCCCUGAGCUUAACUUAGGAAUUGCAUUCGAUACUGGGAAGCUAGAGUAUGGGAGAGGAUGGUAGAAUUCCAGGUGUAGCGGUGAAAUGCGUAGAGAUCUGGAGGAAUACCGAUGGCGAAGGCAGCCAUCUGGCCUAAUACUGACGCUGAGGUACGAAAGCAUGGGGAGCAAACAGGAUUAGAUACCCCGGUAGUCCCUGUCUCUUAUAA